rnacentral:ncRNA from 2 species
GGAACUGAAUACUACCCAUUUCGUAUAACCUUAAUAAUUGGAUUAAGGGUCUCUACUUAGAAACCGUAAAUUUCUAGCUACGACAAAUGUGCGCAUGUCA